rnacentral:lncRNA from 1 species
CUCAUAUGUUCGAUCCUGCUCUUGGUUUUAGCAGCUUUCCGCGUAAAUGCAGAUCUAAUUCCAAUGCACACAAAGGCACAGCUGAUAUUUCGCAGUGGAUUCGUCACACUGACCAGGUGUGUCUCUGAAGAUUAGUCCAUUUGCCUGUUUCCUCACUUUGACAAGAGGUGGUCAAGGUUUCCUCACUACAUUUGUCCUACAUGCAUUUUUGCGUUGCCUGGUUGUUUGCUAACCAGGAGAAAAUCCCCUCCUGUGAUCAUAUAUAAGGUGGAACCUGACAGCACGACUCCGCUCCACCCACCUCAACUGAGACUCUCGGCUGACGUUUCCUACGCUGUAUUUGACUGUAAGUAAUUCAAGUCUUUAUGCAUUUUCUGGGAGUUCAUGAGAGCCAGUCUCCAUCACAGUCUUUGCUCCUACAGGUGAAAGCAUGCUGAAGGUAGCGUUUGUGCUCGGGUGCAUCCUGUGCCUUGCUUUGGCCAAUCCUGUAAGUGUGAAAUGCGCAACAUCAGUGUGCUUGUACUUGUUAUUCAGAAGCAACACUAACAGCACAACUUCACUACUUUUGCCACAGAUUGAUGAUAAGUCGCCAAAACGGGUUGCACGCUCAGGUGAACGCUAUGGCUUUAGGGGUGGUUUCAUGCCGUACAUGUAUUACCCUUCUUAUCCCCGUCCUCAAAGCAAUCCUUGGUUGUCCCUCCUGCUGGCCCAGCUUUUGAUACCACCUGCUGCCACUACAACCGUGGCCACAACUACGACAACCACUGCUAAGCCCUAAGAUGAUCAUUAUCCCUCAUGAAAACUAGAUUGAGCUGUUUUCAAUGUGUGGAUCACAAAAUCAAAUGAAUCAUGUUGACUACAGUAAAUAAACAUGAAUGUGAC